GAUCAUUACCUAGAGUUUGUGGGCUUUGCCCACUGUCUCUUACCCAUGUCUUUUGAGUACUUACGUUUCCUCGGUGGGCUCGCCCGCCGGUUGGACAAUUUAAACCAUUUGCAGUUGCAAUCAGCGUCUGAAAAACAUAAUAGUUACAACUUUCAACAACGGAUCUCUUGGUUCUGGCAUCGAUGAAGAACGCAGCGAAAUGCGAUAAGUAGUGUGAAUUGCAGAAUUCAGUGAAUCAUCGAAUCUUUGAACGCACAUUGCGCCCCUUGGUAUUCCAUGGGGCAUGCCUGUUCGAGCGUCAUUUGUACCUUCAAGCUCUGCUUGGUGUUGGGUGUUUGUCUCGCCUUGCGCGUAGACUCGCCUUAAAACAAUUGGCAGCCGGCGUAUUGAUUUCGGAGCGCAGUACAUCUCGCGCUUUGCACUCAUAACGACGACGUCCAAAAGUACUUUUUACACUCUUGACCUCGGAUCAGGUAGGGAUACCCGCUGAACUUAAGCAUAUC
rnacentral:rRNA from 1 species